CACGUAGUUAGCCGGUGCUUCUUAUUCCGGUACCGUCAUCCACACGGGAUAUUCACCCGUGCGAUUUCGUUCCGGCCGAAAGAGCUUUACAACCCGAAGGCCUUCUUCACUCACGCGGCAUGGCUGGAUCAGGGUUGUCCCCAUUGUCCAAAAUUCCCCACUGCUGCCCUCCCGUAGGAGUCUGGGCCGUGUCUCAGUCCCAGUCGUGGCUGGUCGUUCUCUCAAACCAGCUACGGAUCGUCGCCUUGGUAGGCUUUUACCCUACCUAACUAGCUAAUCCGGCAUCGGCCGCUCCUCUCGCGCAAGGCCCUUGCGGGUCCCCUGCUUUCAUCUCUCGAUCUCAUGCGGUAUUAGCCAGUCUUUCGACUGUACUCCCCACAGAGGACACGUUCCGAUGCAUUACUCACCCGUGCGCCGCUCGCCGCCACGGGUUCGCCCCCGUCGCCUGCCGCUCGACUUGCAUGUGUAAGGCUAUCGCCGUCCAGCGUUCAACUCUGA
rnacentral:rRNA from 1 species